rnacentral:lncRNA from 1 species
AUGCACGAGAAAAACAACAAAACCCUGAUGCCCCCAAUAUGGAAGUUUACAAUAAAGACCGUGAGAGCACGGUGGUUGCCCGCGCCGCGUCCUGACGCCCUCCUCCACCGCCAACCUGCAGGUCCUGGAGAAGGAGCGCGCGGCCCGGCGGCAGCGGUGGCGGCUGCGGCGGCUGCGGGAGCGGCUGCGGCGCCAGGACGAGGCGCUGGGGCGGCAGGCGGAGGCCCUGGAGCGCUGCCGGCGGACGCAGCGGCGCCAGCUGGGCCUGGUGCGCGAGCAGGAGCGCGGCCUGCGGGAGCAGGUGCGGCGGCUGGAGCGGGACGUGCGGCGCCUGUGCGGGGCGGCUGGCCUCCUGCUGGCCGAGCUGGACGCCCCGGCCCCGGGCAGCCCCUGCCCUCCCGGCCCGGCCGGAGCCCGGGGCGUCUCCGGGGAGGCCGCGGAGCUGCGCGCCCUGCAGGCCGAGCGGGAGCGGGAGCGGGAGCGGGAGCGGGAGCGGGAGCGGGAGCGGGCCGAGGCGGCGCGCAGGCUGCGGGGGCAGCGCGACACCGAGCGCCGGCUCCGCGGGCAGCUGGAGGACCUGCGCUGCUGCAUCUACGAGCUCAAGCUGUCGGAGAUCGGCCUGCAGGCCCAGGUGGAGGACCUCGCCCAGCAAAACCAGAGCCUUCGCCAGGCGCUGGGGGCCCGGGCCCCGGGGGAGAGCGCGCGCAGCCCCGCCGCUGCUGGUCACUGCAGCCCGGUCACUCUGAGCCGAAUCCAGGAUGAACCACUGUCCCUGCCCAGGGAGGACGCACCGGAUGCUCCCAAAAGGCAAGAGCCGCAGGCCACCCUCGGCUCCACCAGUGCCCCUGGACCGAGAGGCUCAGCAGGUAUGUGGGGUGCCUGUAGGGUCGCCCACUGAUGGGCCAGCUCCCCUAGGAUGUGCCAGUGUGUCCGGGGGUGGGGGGUCUACAGACAGGAAGCUGAAGCUCAGAGAGGUAGUGUCGCUUGCUUGAUGUCACACAGCCAGAAGAGGUGGGAUUAGAGUCUGCGAUGUCCAGGACAACAUCCUUGACUUGGGCUCAACCAGACAUUUAGGCUCAUUCCUUCAGCCUUCAGGAGGGGGCCGGCUAGGCGACGCUGGUGCCAGCACCGGGCAGCAGGGGUCUCAGGAGGAGGAGUCUUUGCAGAAGACCAUGGAAUGACUAUCCUAUCGCCAGCCGACCACUCGACAGCUCAGAUGUGAGAUAGGUGCAAGGUCUGGGAGCUGCUGGGCUAAGGAGCCCCUUGUCCCUAACUUGUCCCUAAUGGGGACCAAUGUCUCUGAUCACAGUCUCAGACUGGGCUUCUAAAUGCCCUGCUGCAAAGCCACUGCACUUGGGGAGCCUCAAAGCCACCAUGUCCCACUGUGGUUAUUUGCAGUCUUCCAGGCCAGAUGGGGUUACAGAUGAGGGGGUUAUUUAUACCCAGGGGUGCCACUGACCUGCACAGCUGCCGUCCCUUUCUAUCCUAUUUCUGGGGAGCAGAGCUGGCAAAUCAAUGGUCAAAUUUGUCCUCAGAGAAGAAGGAGGGGCCUGUCUGGUAGUGAAGCCGAGGCCGGCUCCUUUAUCUGCACGCCAGCCUUGUGGGGUUGGGAGCAGGGGAUUAUGACCCUGUGUGACCAUGAGGGUGCCCGGGUUGAUGGAAGUAUGAUGGGUUUUGUCACCUGCAUGAGCUUCAUGGUCAACCAACGUGGCUUCCAGGCCCAAUCUGCUGCUUGUCAGCAGACAGUCAUUCCCAUCUCCAAGCCUUGGUUUCCUUCCCUGGCAGU